UCGAAAAACGUACAUGAAAGGAGGGAGUAGCUUUUAUUAUUAUUUCAUGGACAUUGAUUGAGUUAAUUUAAAACACGUACUACACCAGAUGACCAGAAGCAGACCGAAAUCAACUAUCUUCUCACCUACUCCACACUAUCAGCACGUAUUCAUUUGCUUCUUUCUCUAGUCUUCUUGUCUUUUCGGAGCUCCCGGCCAUGGAAAGGAGCAAAAGGCUGAGCCAGAUUGGAUCCACUGCAUCUCAGGAUAAGCCCGAGUCUCCCCUCGGUUUGCUACUUUGUGGUACUAACCACACGCACCUCGUGGUUGGGAUGAUGCUUGGUUUGGCUCCCAGCCUGCCUCGUCGAUCUCCCGGCCGGUGAACACGUAGCAGGGCCCUAAUAGCAACUGCGUGAUGGAGGAUGAGAGGUCAUCGAACUCGACGGUGCCUUUCACGUCAGCGUCCAUGGAGGCGAUGAAGGAGUGGAUCUUGUUCCCUUAGCUCCUUCACAAUUUUGGGGGUCCUGGGAGUGUUAUCCGUCCCCAACCGCCGAGCUGCAGGCGUCGUUGCUGUUCCCAAGCGAGGCACCCGACGCAUCAUCUUCAUCCUCGAUAGUAGCAGCCCGGCUUCGGCAUUGCAUUCUUCCACCUGCAAUAUACUUUAAGGUUGAAGAGGCGCGGGUCUAUCAUAAGGACCUGGUGAUCUUCAGGAAUGGGUACUCUUUUAAAUUUCUUGUUGAUGUUUGAAGUUUGCUAUCUGCCUGUCCGUUUGUUCUUCUGUACUUCAUCAAUUGGUUUUAUCAUGGUAAGCAACCCAAUUCAUUGAUCCAUGAUCAGUAACGAAUUUAUCAAUGCCAUAUAGAGGAACUGUGCAAAUUAUCUAACUUAGUGCAGGUGAUACAUACUGGAGAUAAUUUGAUGCACAUGAUACUUGCUGGAGGUGGUGUGAUUGCUUGACGGAGCCGAUAACAGUCGAGGAGAGUCAACAGAGAAAACUGGGGCACUUGCAACUAUCGGAGGAAGGUGAUGUCCAAGUGCCGAUCGCUGGAGGAAGACGAUGACGAAAGUGGGCUCUGAAGGUGGGAUCCGACUUGUGGGGCAUGCUGAAACUGACUUGAUGCUAGCUUGUAGAACUAGUUUCAUUGCCCUGGCACCAUUGCUAACGUGAUUGCCAGAGUUCAUAAAUCACAACAUUACCUUCUCGCAAUAUCGCCUCGCCCUAAUUACUCGAGGUAGCUGCCGCCGGCCUAGGACAACAAAUCAAUCUAAGUUAGACUUUGUUCCCUUGGUGUUUUGGCAGUAAAAUAUCAAAUUAUCUGUUUGUUUCUCAACCCCUUGGUUGCGAUGCUUUAAUUGUAAGUUACACUGUAUAUGUAGAUGCAACUUUCCAUUAAUCUAUGUUGAGAAUAGUAACUUUGCACAUAGUUCUUUUGGCCGGUGACA